CUGAAAGUCCUUUGGGGUUCCUAUCUUUAUAGUGACUCAGGCCAUCAGUUAUAGAGUUAAAAUGGAGCUGAGGAGGGAAUGGCUGUCUCAGGUGACAAAAGAAAUUAAAAACAGCCCCCUGGCAACUAAUUUCUUUUUUGGAAUAGUCCAGUUGAUCGCUGAGGGACUGGUGGGAAUGGAGUUUUCUUGCCCUUGCGACGCUAGAUACAACAGAAUGUACACUUCAGUAUUUUUCAUUGUUCCACCAAUUAUAGUAUUUUUACUAGCCGUGGGAAUUAGACCAUUCUGUAAACCAUGUAAAUCAAUCUUCGAUUGCCUAAAUAUAACCAUAGUUCCAACAGCGUUAUGGCUGGUAAUAUUGUUGACUGAUGGCCGUUAUUAUGCCUGUUUAUUAACCAACUGGACAGGAAAGUAUGAAAUAAUUGAGAAUGCUGCACCCCAGUAUUGGUGUAAACCAGUCAACUCAUCUCAGGAAUUACUGUCCAAAAUCCAGCUAAUGUAUGCUGAAUCACAGUUCUAUGGAUUGUACACAGCACUUGGAAUGACCGUGUUUUAUUUGGUAUGGAUGUACGGCUCCAGAUAUUCCAGCCGCCACUGCAGCCAAAAUAAUGAAAAUCCAGAAGCUCCAGGAAAUGAAGAGAAUGAGCGUGUCGAACUAAACCAACAACCUUGAAAGAAAUAAGAAACUAUUGUAAGAAAAGGCAACCCUAAAACAAUGUAAUUAUGUGCUUUACAUAUAAUAAGAUUAAGUAUUCAUAGCCAUACAAUCCAAUGUUAUUAUUUCAAUUAUAGUUUCUAAAUGCUAUUAAAUCAUAUAUUCAUA